GCACAAAGUAAUGUGAACUGUAGUAUACCUCGUGCAUAUCGCAGACACAUAGAAUAUCGACUGCCAAUCGCAAAACAGAAGAAUGAAGAUGUGGUACAUGAAUGUUAAUGUGGUUGGGGAUUUCGUCAAUAAUUCUGACGCUGAUCCCUGUAUGCUGGCUUAAUACGCAAUUAUGGGUGUCGAUGAUAUUGAGAGUUGUGUUGUUGUGUAAGAAGGGUCAUUAUGGGAGGACAGAAACAGAUGGCUUGUUUUUGGCUAGCUUACUGAUGAUCGUGUGUGUCAGGAGAUGAGCUUCCUAAAGGAGAACCAGGCAAGGCCUCAGGAAAACGUGUGUGUGAAGACUCAAAGGAAUUAAAAUUAAGCAAAUUGUGUCUCAGUCUUUGCACCUGGAGAAUGUAUUAGUGUCGCAGCCAUAAACUUACUCAGGUGAAUUUAUACUACCCUGCUUGAAAGACAACUCAUACUCUUAGAAAGCCCUCUGUGGAACUUUAGCCAGAUAACAACAGUGGACAUUACAAAAGUCAUAAUUAGAACUUUACAUACAGAGCAAGAACAAUAAAUAUAUUGGUCCUAGUAAGUUGAACUGUGUGCUGGACCAGGACUCUAAAUUGGAACCUUGCUGGUGAACGUAUGUGGAGUAUGGGAAGAAGACAUACAAGUGGAAGUAAUGGGAGGCAGGUCACGAAUCAUGCCUGGGAUCGCUUAGUCGGUAAUAGCAGUGCUCACGAAAGGGUAGUUCUGUUUCAAGAGCCCCAGAAGUUUUAAAGCGGAACAUACUCUGCUGUGGAGUGAAAUAAGUGACUUUAGAGUACAGAAACAUAUAAGAGUAAUGUGUAGUGUAAAUCCAAGAACAUCAUGUUGAAACCUAUUCAAGGAAUUGGGCAUACUAACCACAGCUUCUCAGUAUAUUUAUUCCUUAAUGAAGUUUGUUGUAAAUAAUGCAUCUUUUUCCAACUAACUGCUUAGUACACAGUAUCAAUACUAGUAAUAAGAACA